AGUGAACGCUGGCGGUAGGCCUAACACAUGCAAGUCGAACGGCAGCACAGUAAGAGCUUGCUCUUACGGGUGGCGAGUGGCGGACGGGUGAGGAAUACAUCGGAAUCUACUUUUUCGUGGGGGAUAACGUAGGGAAACUUACGCUAAUACCGCAUACGACCUACGGGUGAAAGCAGGAGAUCUUCGGACCUUGCGCGAUUGAAUGAGCCGAUGUCGGAUUGGCUAGUUGGCGGGGUAAAGGCCCACCAAGGCGACGAUCCGUAGCUGGUCUGAGAGGAUGAACAGCCCCACUGGAACUGAGACACGGUCCAGACUCCUACGGGAGGCAGCAGUGGGGAAUAUUGGACAAUGGGCGCAAGCCUGAUCCAGCCAUACCGCGUGGGUGAAGAAGGCCUUCGGGUUGUAAAGCCCUUUUGUUGGGAAAGACAACCAGCAGGUUAAUCCCCCGCUGUUCUGACGGUACCCAAAGAAUAAGCACCGGCUAACUUCGUG
rnacentral:rRNA from 1 species